GUGGAUUUAGCUCAGUGGUACAGCGCUUGCCUGCCAAGCAUGAGGUCCUGAGUUCAAUUCACA
rnacentral:tRNA from 1 species